CGAGCGAACGGACGAGAAGCUUGCUUCUCUGAUGUUAGCGGCGGACGGGUGAGUAACACGUGGAUAACCUACCUAUAAGACUGGGAUAACUUCGGGAAACCGGAGCUAAUACCGGAUAAUAUUUUGAACCGCAUGGUUCAAAAGUGAAAGACGGUCUUGCUGUCACUUAUAGAUGGAUCCGCGCUGCAUUAGCUAGUUGGUAAGGUAACGGCUUACCAAGGCAACGAUGCAUAGCCGACCUGAGAGGGUGAUCGGCCACACUGGAACUGAGACACGGUCCAGACUCCUACGGGAGGCAGCAGUAGGGAAUCUUCCGCAAUGGGCGAAAGCCUGACGGAGCAACGCCGCGUGAGUGAUGAAGGUCUUCGGAUCGUAAAACUCUGUUAUUAGGGAAGAACAUAUGUGUAAGUAACUGUGCACAUCUUGACGGUACCUAAUCAGAAAGCCACGGCUAACUACGUGCCAGCAGCCGCGGUAAUACGUAGGUGGCAAGCGUUAUCCGGAAUUAUUGGGCGUAAAGCGCGCGUAGGCGGUUUUUUAAGUCUGAUGUGAAAGCCCACGGCUCAACCGUGGAGGGUCAUUGGAAACUGGAAAACUUGAGUGCAGAAGAGGAAAGUGGAAUUCCAUGUGUAGCGGUGAAAUGCGCAGAGAUAUGGAGGAACACCAGUGGCGAAGGCGACUUUCUGGUCUGUAACUGACGCUGAUGUGCGAAAGCGUGGGGAUCAAACAGGAUUAGAUACCCUGGUAG
rnacentral:rRNA from 1 species